AGCUGUGGAAGGGCGGCGUAGAAGAGGAAAGGCUGGGGGUUUCGGAUGGUUGUUUUUGAAGCCAUCAGUAUUCUUGAAGAAGCAGCAUAUCUUGAACUGUCCUAUGGGUGAAGGCUUUGAUGUGGUCCUGUAAAAACUGGCAUUGAAAUGGAUGGCAUCUGAUCCUGCUUCAUGUGAUUCUUCAUUUAGCUCUGGACUCUUUACAUCAUUAAGGUACCCUGAAUAUAUUCAGUAUGGAAGAAGUGUUAUCAAUUCUGUUGAUGGACCCCUUAAUCUCUUCUACUGAUUAUCUUCUACUUGAACCAGUGCCAAAUUAAUGUUGCAAGCUUUGUCUUGAAAUAUGUAAGACUUAUAACUUUGUUGUUAUUCCACUCGAUUGUGAUGAAUAUGGGUA
rnacentral:lncRNA from 1 species